rnacentral:rRNA from 1 species
UACAGAGGUCUCAAGCGUUGUUCGGAUUCAUUGGGCGUAAAGGGUGCGUAGGCGGCGCGGUAAGUCGGGUGUGAAAUCUCGGAGCUUAACUCCGAAACUGCAUUCGAUACUGCCGUGCUUGAGGACUGGAGAGGAGACUGGAAUUUACGGUGUAGCGGUGAAAUGCGUAGAUAUCGUAAGGAAGACCAGUGGCGAAGGCGGGUCCUG